rnacentral:rRNA from 1 species
CACGUAGGGCGCAAGCGUUGUCCGGAAUUAUUGGGCGUAAAGAGCUCGUAGGCGGUCUGUUGCGUCCGCUGUGAAAACUCGGGGCUUAACCCCGAGCCUGCAGUGGAUACGGGCAGACUAGAGGUAGGUAGGGGAGAAUGGAAUUCCCGGUGUAGCGGUGAAAUGCGCAGAUAUCGGGAGGAACACCGGUGGCGAAGGCGGUUCUCUGGGCCUUACCUGACGCUGGGGAGCGAAAGCCAGGGGAGCAAACGGG